rnacentral:rRNA from 1 species
GCGGUCAUAUCCACGGAAAAGCACCGAAACCCGUUAGAUCUUCGAAGUUAAACCUGUGUGAGCUCAGUAAGUACUAUGGUGGGCGACCACAUGGGAACAUUGAGUACUGCAAUUUUU